rnacentral:rRNA from 1 species
UACGAAGGGGGCUAGCGUUGCUCGGAAUCACUGGGCGUAAAGGGUGCGUAGGCGGGUUUUUAAGUCAGGGGUGAAAUCCUGGAGCUCAACUCCAGAACUGCCUUUGAUACUGAAGAUCUUGAGUUCGGGAGAGGUGAGUGGAACUGCGAGUGUAGAGGUGAAAUUCGUAGAUAUUCGCAAGAACACCAGUGGCGAAGGCGGCUCACUGGCCCGAUCGACGCUGAGGCACGAAAGCGUGGGGAGCAAACAGGAUUAGAU